rnacentral:misc_RNA from 1 species
GAUGAAGAACGUAGCGAAAUGCGAUACGUAAUGUGAAUUGCAGAAUUCAGUGAAUCAUCGAGUCUUUGAACGCACAUUGCGCCCGCCAGUAUUCUGGCGGGCAUGCCUGUCCGAGCGUCAUUUCAACCCUCGAACCCCUCCGGGGGGUCGGCGUUGGGGAUCGGCCCUUUACGGGGCCGGCCCCGAAAUACAGUGGCGGUCUCGCCGCAGCCUCUCCUGCGCAGUAGUUUGCACACUCGCAUCGGGAGCGCGGCGCGUCCAAUGCCGUAAAACACCCAACUUUCUGAAAUGUUGACCUCGGAUCAGGUAGGAAUACCCGCUGAACUUAAGCAUAUCAAUAAGCGGAGGA